UGGGUUUCUUGCCGUUAUUUCGCCAACAAAUUCUGUCUGGUUUCUUUCUCUUUCCCCAUUUUGGAAACCUUGUAGAAUGUGUGUGUUCUUGCCAGCAAGUUGAGGUGUCGUGCUCUGUUGAGAGCAGCUUAGCUAGGCAUCGGCCGGCGUCGCAGGCUGGGAUCAAUGGGCGUGUUGAGAUUAUUUUUGCUCUCUUUCUUGUCUUGGUCGUGUUCUUGGUUCUUGCUGAGCUUGUUCCAUGCGCUCGCAUAGAAGUCUAGCGUGGUUUCGCUCGAUCCCCUCAGGAAACGAGAAAACACAAGAAUGAUGACAUCUGAUCACGGGCAAAACUGAGCUGCUGAGAUUUGCCUCCCCACGGUCGACGAUGCAGCGCUGAUUACUUGCAUGAUGUAGAGCCUAGCGGGAGAUCGGCGCGGCGAACCUGUCUGUGGGCGAGAGCGACGGCGUGCAUGCGUUGCACUCGGCUUGUGCGUGCGUGCGUCCGCGACCCGAGGCUACUAGGAUCAAGGGAAGGAGGACGGCGCGCGCGCGCAUCCACGGCACCCGCUCGGACGGCGAGCCUUGAUCCGGGGUCGCGCGCGUGCUGCCAUUGCCGUGGCGGUGUCGGCGUUGAAGGGCGCUCGCGUCGUGUGGGCUCGUUCCAUCCGUUCCUUCGUGCGCAGGCAGGUUGUUCAGGAAGAAGAAUCUCAAGGAAGACCUGCCGAAACGUGCCAAGCUAAGCUCCUCAUGUCCCAGGCCUCAGGGUCUCAGUGGCAUUUGCUGGAAGGUCCACAAUUUCAGAACUGAGGAUUAUAAACUGAGGAAUGCAACAAAAGUAUCAAAACUUGGCUGCUACACUCCUACAGGUUCCAUAAUUACACAGGCUGCAAGGGGAAAUGAAGUGGAAGAAAGAGGCAUCUAAUGUGGUUAGUGAAUCUUUUCUUUUGAGGGAAAUGUGCUCUGGAGAUUAAUGUGCGGGAACCAGGACUCAUCGACACUUGAGCAGCUCGUGCCAGGCCUUUGGACACAUGGUGAAGCGCGAUCUUUGAGUUUUUUGUUGUUGUUGGCAACCCCCAGCUUGUAUCCCUUCGUUUUUCGCUCUUUUGAGCCAUUCCGCCCUUAUGUGGGUCUGUAAGAACUAGCUCUUGUAAAGUUGUAAUACCUCCAAAAAGGGCUUUAAUAGUCUAAAGCCAGGCGGACGCCUCCUUUCUCAUAAAUGUAACUAUAAUUUUAGAACAUAUAGAACUUGUUCAACCAAUGUAUGCAUUCCUUUUGGCGGAAAAGACCUAAGAUGACAUGUGCAUUAGUGCAACACGUUGUGAGUAUUUCCUAGAAAAGACAGUACUCAAAUCAAUACGUGGGGAUGUACUUUAUGAUCAACAACAGAGUUACGAAACUUUUGUGUCUCAUUAAACUCUCAUAAGAGCAAGGAAAUAAAAUGAAACUAAAUAA